GCACGCUGAAUUGUGAGGGGAAGUUGGAGAAGGAACCAGCCAACCACGAGCGAAGGCGUGUCUCGCGGGUGGGAAUAUGAACACGAGAGGCUCAACUGUUAUUCGGAGCUCGAGGAGUGCGUGUGGAGGUAAACAACACGAGGCGAGCACUCUGAGCUCCUCGCGGAACAACUGGCAGAGCUGAUACCCAGACAGAAGCAACAUGUCACAUCAGGCGAUGAACGGGUUCGGGGGCAAGGUGCUGACCCUGGAGAACAUGAACCCCAACGUGAGGAAGGUGGAGUACGCGGUGCGAGGAGCCAUCGUGCAGCGCGCGGAGCAGAUAGAGAAGGAGCUGAAAGAGGGAGUCAAGAAACCUUUCACAGAAGUCAUCAAGGCAAACAUUGGUGACGCCCACGCCAUGGGUCAGAAACCAAUCACAUUUUUCAGACAGGUCCUGGCUCUGUGUGCGUACCCUGAUCUCCUGGACGACAACAAGUUUCCAGAGGAUGCCAAGCAGAGAGCCCGGCGUAUCCUCGGGGCCUGCGGGGGCCACAGUAUAGGGGCCUACAGUGCGAGCCAGGGCAUCGAGUGCAUCCGUCAGGACGUGUCGCGCUACAUCGAGAAGAGAGACGGUGGGAUCCCCUCCAACCCCGACAACAUCUACCUCUCCACCGGGGCCAGCGACGCCAUUGUGACCAUGCUGAAGCUGCUGGUGUGUGGCGAGGGUCCCGACCGUACAGGAGUGAUGAUCUCCAUCCCUCAGUACCCGCUGUACUCGGCCGCGCUGGCAGACCUGGCUGCCGUGCAGAUCAGCUACUACCUGGACGAGGACAGGUGUUGGGGUCUGGACGUGGCGGAGCUGAAGAGAGCCUUGAGCGCCGCCCGGACACACUGCAACCCCCGCGUCAUCUGCAUCAUCAACCCCGGGAACCCCACUGGUCAGGUCCAGAGCAGGAAGUGCAUUGAAGAUGUCAUCCGAUUUGCCAAAGAGGAGCAUCUCUUCCUCAUGGCUGACGAAGUGUACCAGGACAACGUGUACGCAGAGGGCUGCAAGUUCCACUCCUUUAAGAAAGUGCUGUUUGAGAUGGGACCAGAGUUCUCCAGCACCGUGGAGAUGGCCUCCUUCCACUCCACCUCCAAAUGCUACAUGGGGGAGUGUGGGUUUCGCGGCGGCUACAUGGAGGUGAUCAACAUGGACCCUGAGGUGAAGGCCCAGCUCACGAAGCUGGUGUCGGUGCGUCUGUGCCCCCCCGUCACCGGCCAGGCUCUCCUGGAGCUGGUGGUGAACCCCCCCCAGCCCGACGAGCCCUCCUACAGCACCUUUAUGAAGGAGCGGACGGAGGUUCUUGCAGCGUUAGCAGAGAAGGCGGGGCUGACGGAGAAGACCUUCAACACAGUGCCAGGUAUCAUCUGUAACCCUGUGCAGGGGGCCAUGUACACCUUCCCCCGCAUCACUCUGCCGCAGAGGGCUAUCGACACAGCUAAGGGGAACAACGGAGCUGAUCCAGAUUUGCGUCCGAUAUGACGUAAUAUCUGAAAUGUGGACCCACGGCCCAAUCAGAAACGUUGCUAUCAGAAACAAUGCCCGACUGUUUUGGACGUAAUAUGGUCUUUGUUUACAUUAGCAUCGCUAACACUCAGAGCUAACCUGUACUGGAGAGAGCAUGUGAGAAAAAAAGGAAAUAAGGAAAGGAACUCACCUUGUGGAAAACCCAUGAGAGAAAAAGCAUUUGAGUUCCAUACUGCUUCAGAAAUAAUCCUUGAUGUGGUUUAGAACAUGCUGGCGUUUAAUCACGGCAGAAUUUGACUGAGUAUCUGCCGGGUAAUUCUGAGCAGAUAACCCCUAAGGACCCAAAUCAGCGUUUCUCUAACAGGGCUGGAAUAGAGGGAUAUGAGGGAUGUCUAAAAUGCAUGAUCGGUUUGGUAUUUUGAGCAAAACAUAUCAGACAUGUUUUUAUAUCUGAGACCCAUAAUAUAUGCCUAAAAAUAGCAUAAUAGGAGACCUUUAAAUACAUUUUCAUGUGUGUCCGUCCCCAGGAGGAAGGUCUGGCUCCAGACAUGUUGUACUGCAUGAGGCUGCUAGAGGAGGAGGGCAUCUGCCUCGUGCCAGGGAGUGGAUUUGGCCAGAGAGAGGGAACCUAUCACUUCAGGAUGACCAUCUUGCCUCCCACUGAGAAGCUGAAGGUUGUGCUGCAGAAAAUCCGGGACUUUCACGUGCGUUUCACAAAGCAGUUUUCCUAACGAGCUUCUCAGCAGAAGACCCAAUCAGUGCCCGUUUAAAGUGCCUUUGUGUGGAAGGAGCCGUCUUAGUCAGCUCGAGGCUGUGUUCUACUAAAUCUGAUUUUUAAAGAUAUUUUCACUGUUUUGCAUCAGUGAAAAACGUCUAUGCUGCUUCCUUGUUUAUGCAGCUAGUACAAAUUAGAUGUCCUAUGUGAAGCUGUAACUAUUGUCACUAAAUUAUGCACUUUCACAAAGAUCUACCCGGCCAGGUUUGUAUUACUCAGAACGAUGUUAAAAUGCUGAUUCUAUGUAAUUGAAAAAGUAUUCGUUCAGAUGUUUUCACAAAUGCAUUUCUCUCCUGCCAAGACCCCUAGAAAAACUAGCUGGAUGUAUUAUUCAAUGACAUGUUAGUUCAUUAACUAACCUGACUAACUUUAGUUACUGAACUGCAAGAGCUAUCCAUGAAUUUAAAGCCCGUCUCAGAUUGUAGACAUUUGUUUUACUAAUAUUAAAAUUGUUAUUAAAACCUUUUAAUCUG